GUGAUGUCUUCUAGAGCAUCAGUUCACAUCUGCAGCUGCAGCAGAAGGCUUGAGUGAGUGUGCAGGCUAGCUGUCUGCCUGCUGGCCUUCUCUGCUGAGGCCCUCUGGGUUAAAGUGGAGGUGAUCCAGACGGGCUCGCUAAUACCUAACAGGGUCUGGUCAUACACUCACGUCGCCUGAGUCACUGACCGGAUGGCCCUUUCCCCUCUACACCCCGAGGUGCACCCAAGGCCAGGCUGACUCUGCCCACAGAGGGUGCCAUGCCAACACCAGGGACCUCUGGACCUCUGCACAUAGCCUGCAUGAUUAACUGAAAUGCCUGCUGCAGUGGAUGGACUGCAUGCUGUAAGCUGAAGGAGAGAUAAGCAAAGACAGAGGAAUAAAAUGGGCCAAUGACUGAAGGAAAGACACGAUUCAUGUUCAUUUUUGGCCACCAUGGAAAGCUAUCCUGAACAAAGAUUCAAGAUAAUUCAAGGCUUCUUUUAGUCUGGCUAAUACCAGAAUGCUUCCAAAAUCCGAAGUGUGAUUGAGGAUGGCUAUGGGGACCCUUCAUUCUAGCCUGUGCAAACCCAGCAGAACCUGUUAGCAAAUCUAAAUGUGCUCUUCUGGUCCAUUUGGAAAGAAGCCUGUUGAUGCAUGUUUUCAAAUCACAGAAAACCCAGGAUCCAAUCACAAUCACUUAUCCAGCAGGGGGCGGGCUUUAUACAGAUAGAGCAGUGCAAACGCAACCAAUGGCUGCACUGAUGGUGACAGGGUUGAACAGAUAUGGACAAGUAUUGUCUUAGGAAUUGAGUAAACAACUGUGUUAAGAGUUCAGUCACAGAUGAUUAAAUUCGACCAUACACACAUAGACAAUUAACUAUAACAAUCAAUCAAACUGAGUUUAAGGCAGCUAAUCUGCCUAUUUCUUAUCAGUUGUGUCUAUAUUCAGUGUAUGUUCAGUGUAUGUGUGCAGCACUGAAUGAUACAUUUACUAUUAGAGUUUAACAAGGUAAAUCAUAUAUAUUUAAUUUGGUUCAAGCAAUGUGGCAAACACCUUUAUGCAAACGCGCCAUAAAUUAUCAACACCAGAAUUUAUACUUCUCAUUUAAUGAUUAUCAUCAAUACUCAUGGUCUGCAAGGAUUAAGUCUACCUUGUAUGUGAAUAACCAGUGAAUUCCAUCUGAUCGUAGGUGCCCUAUGAUAGCAGCUAUACCGUGCAUGCAUAGAAAUCAAGCAAGCUAAUAAAUGAUUAUUUCAUUAUCCGAUCCUUACCUUCUCUGUGUCUCUCCUCUUCUUCCUGUUGUUUUUCUUUUUCACUCUGUUUGUUUCUCUCCUCCAGCUCCCUCUCCUUUUCCUGAAGCUGGGUUCUCAG